GUCAGUGUCGUCUAGUGGUUAGUACGCGAGCUUCACACGCUCGAGAUCGAGGGUUCGAUCCCCUCCUCUGAUA
rnacentral:tRNA from 1 species